UGGGGAAUUUUGGACAAUGGGGGCAACCCUGAUCCAGCCAUUCCGCGUGAGUGAAGAAGGCCUUCGGGUUGUAAAGCUCUUUCAGCAGGAACGAAACGGUCGGCUUUAAUAAAGUCGGCUAAUGACGGUACCUGCAGAAGAAGCACCGGCUAACUACGUGCCAGCAGCCGCGGUAAUACGUAGGGUGCGAGCGUUAAUCGGAAUUACUGGGCGUAAAGCGUGCGCAGGCGGCGACAUAAGACAGAUGUGAAAUCCCCGGGCUCAACCUGGGAACUGCGUUUGUGACUGUGUUGCUAGAGUGUAGCAGAGGGGGGUGGAAUUCCACGUGUAGCAGUGAAAUGCGUAGAGAUGUGGAGGAACACCGAUGGCGAAGGCAGCCCCCUGGGUUAACACUGACGCUCAUGCACGAAAGCGUGGGGAGCAAACAGGAUUAGAUACCCGAGUAGUCCCUGAGCGGGCUGGCAAGGCGCAU
rnacentral:rRNA from 1 species